rnacentral:lncRNA from 1 species
GGCCCAGAGAGCUGCCUGGCCCCUUCCACCAUGUGAGGACUAUCAACCAGGAAAUGGGCCUUCACCAGGCACUGAAUAUGCCAGUGCCUUCUUCUUGGACUACCCAGUCUCCAGAAAUCUGCACACUCUUCUGGUCCGUGUUUGUUCUGGCUCAAGCUGAGCUUUUGCUCACCGUCCACCACUGCUGAUUGCCGCUGUCGCAGACCCGCCGCUAACUUCCAC